UACGAAGGGGGCUAGCGUUGCUCGGAAUCACUGGGCGUAAAGGGCGCGUAGUCGGCGUUUUAAGUCGGGGGUGAAAGCCUGUGGCUCAACCACAGAAUGGCCUUCGAUACUGGGACGCUUGAGUAUGGUAGAGGUUGGUGGAACUGCGAGUGUAGAGGUGAAAUUCGUAGAUAUUCGCAAGAACACCGGUGGCGAAGGCGGCCAACUGGACCAUUACUGACGCUGAGGCGCGAAAGCGUGGGGAGCAAACAGG
rnacentral:rRNA from 1 species